GCCCUGGUAGCUAAGUGGUUAAGCACUUGGCUGCUAACCAAAAGGUUAUUGGUUCAAACCCACCAACUGCU
rnacentral:tRNA from 1 species